rnacentral:rRNA from 1 species
CCUACGGUGGGCUGCAGUGGGGAAUAUUGGACAAUGGGCGAAAGCCUGAUCCAGCCAUGUCGCGUGUGUGAAGAAGGCCUUCGGGUUGUAAAGCACUUUCAGUGGGGAAGAAAGCCUUGGGGCUAAUACCCUCGAGGAAGGACAUCACCCACAGAAGAAGCACCGGCUAACUCCGUGCCAGCAGCCGCGGUAAUACGGAGGGUGCGAGCGUUAAUCGGAAUUACUGGGCGUAAAGCGCGCGUAGGCGGUCUGAUAAGCCGGUUGUGAAAGCCCCGGGCUCAACCUGGGAACGGCAUCCGGAACUGUCAGGCUAGAGUGCAGGAGAGGAAGGUAGAAUUCCCGGUGUAGCGGUGAAAUGCGUAGAGAUCGGGAGGAAUACCAGUGGCGAAGGCGGCCUUCUGGACUGACACUGACGCUGAGGUGCGAAAGCGUGGGUAGCAAACAGGAUUAGAUACCCUUGUAGUC